UAAGUCUGAGCUACGAUAAGCUGGAGGAAAUCGGCCCAUGACCAGCCCCUCCUCUUCCGCUCCGUUGCCAUGGCGGAGAUCAGCGAGUCGCUUCUGUCGGUGUCGCCGGCCUCGGCGCCCACAAGGACGGGUGUGAUUCCCCUUCGCGCCUCGGUGGGUCUGUUUCGGGGACGUCUGUGGUGGCUGACGAAACAUGCUUUGACAGGGAGCGAGCAAGGACCAAUGACUACAACUCCCAGAAGGCCCCACUGAUGACGUUGUGGUGUUGUUUAGGGGCCUUUAAAAAGGUGGCAGACAUGAGGCUGUUUAACACGCUACGAGCCCAUGGUAUUACAGAAAGAGCCCAGCACAGAUAAAGCAGUGGCUGAUUGACAGGAGGCAGAAUGUGUGAAUAAAUGGAGCGUUUUC